CCCCACUACACUGUAAGCUCCUUGGAGGCUGUGGUGGUCUGUUACCUCUUUUUAUCUUCUCAGAAUUUAACAUAGUCCUUGUCAUACAAGAAUUGCUUUCUAAUGUUUGAUUGAUUGAUCAAUCUUGUCAACUGUGAAUUUUAGAUUUUCUCCAUUUUGCUUAGUCUUAGAAAUUCUAGCAACCAGGAAUGUAUAUACCCCACUUAAGCAUUAACUGUGAGGAGGAUGGUCUAUGACUACAUGUGCUAGCAUGUGACAAAUCAGAAACAACUGACAGACCCCCCUGGGCUGUCCUAAGUCAAGCUUAAGCUACCAUUGGUACAUGUGAGAUGCAGGAAGUGAUGUAAAGAAUGGUCUAUAUAUUUCGUGUCAUUUCCUCUCUCACUCUCUCUCAUGGAGACGUUGCUCUCUGUCUUGCUUGUGUGGCUUGUGGUAGCAUGGUUUACGUCUUGGCGGUUUGGAUUUCCAGGAGACUUAUGAACAAGAGGACUGCCUGAACAGGAGGCUAACCAAACCUUGCAAAACUCUGGACUUUGUACCAAAUUAAAUAAUGAUAAAAUAUAAUAUAAAAAUGAUAAAUAAACCCAAUGACACAUUAUAGUGAGUUCUUAUA
rnacentral:lncRNA from 1 species